CCUACGGGAGGCAGCAGUCGGGAAUAUUGCGCAAUGGGCGAAAGCCUGACGCAGCCAUGCCGCGUGUGUGAAGAAGGCCCUAGGGUUGUAAAGCACUUUCAAUUGGGAGGAAAAGCUAAUGGUUAAUAACUAUUAGCCCUGACGUUACCUUUAGAAGAAGCACCGGCUAACUCCGUGCCAGCAGCCGCGGUAAU
rnacentral:rRNA from 1 species